GACGAACGCUGGCGGCGUGCUUAACACAUGCAAGUCGAACGGAAAGGCCCUGCUUUUGUGGGGUGCUCGAGUGGCGAACGGGUGAGUAACACGUGAGUAACCUGCCCUUGACUUUGGGAUAACUUCAGGAAACUGGGGCUAAUACCGGAUAGGAGCUCCUGCUGCAUGGUGGGGGUUGGAAAGUUUCGGCGGUUGGGGAUGGACUCGCGGCUUAUCAGCUUGUUGGUGGGGUAGUGGCUUACCAAGGCUUUGACGGGUAGCCGGCCUGAGAGGGUGACCGGCCACAUUGGGACUGAGAUACGGCCCAGACGCCAACGGGAGACAGCAGUGGGGAAUAUUGCACAAUGGGCGGAAGCCUAGUGCAGCAACGCCGGGGGCGGGAUGACGGCCUUCGGGUUAUAAACCGCUUUCGGCUGUGACGAAGCGUGAGUGACGGUAAUGGGUAAAGAAGCACCGGCUAACUACGUG
rnacentral:rRNA from 1 species